AUGACUCUCGGCAACGGAUAUCUAGGCUCUUGCAUCGAUGAAGAACGUAGCGAAAUGCGAUACUUGGUGUGAAUUGCAGAAUCCCGUGAACCAUCGAGUCUUUGAACGCAAGUUGCGCCCGAAGCCAUUAGGUUGAGGGCACGUCUGCCUGGGCGUCAC
rnacentral:rRNA from 1 species